rnacentral:rRNA from 1 species
AGUGGCGCACGGGUGCGUAACGCGUGAGCAACCUGCCUCUAUCAGGGGGAUAGCCUCUCGAAAGAGAGAUUAACACCGCAUAACAUAUCAGACCGGCAUCGGUCAGAUAUUAAAUAUUUAUAGGAUAGAGAUGGGCUCGCGUGACAUUAGCUAGUUGGUAGGGUAACGGCUUACCAAGGCGACGAUGUCUAGGGGCUCUGAGAGGAGAAUCCCCCACACUGGUACUGAGACACGGACCAGACUCCUACGGGAGGCAGCAGUAAGGAAUAUUGGUCAAUGGGCGGAAGCCUGAACCAGCCAUGCCGCGUGCAGGAUGACUGCCCUAUGGGUUGUAAACUGCUUUUGUCCAGGAAUAAACCUGUCUACGUGUAGAUAGCUGAAUGUACUGGAAGAAUAAGGAUCGGCUAACUCCGUGCCAGCAGCCGCGGUAAUACGGAGGAUCCGAGCGUUAUCCGGAUUUAUUGGGUUUAAAGGGUGCGUAGGCGGCCAGUUAAGUCAGGGGUGAAAUACGGUGGCUCAACCAUCGCAGUGCCUUUGAUACUGACGGGCUUGAAUCCAUUU